rnacentral:rRNA from 1 species
UACAGGGGGGGCAAGCGUUGUUCGGAAUUACUGGGCGUAAAGGGUUCGUAGGUGGCCAACUAAGUCAGACGUGAAAUCCCUCAGCUUAACUGGGGAACUGCGUCUGAUACUGGUUGGCUUGAGUGCAGGAGAGGAAUGCGGAAUUCCAGGUGUAGCGGUGAAAUGCGUAGAUAUCUGGAGGAACACCGGUGGCGAAGGCGGCAUUCUGGACUGUAACUGACACUGAGGAACGAAAGCCAGGGGAGCAAACGGG